GACGAACGCUGGCGGCGUGCCUAAUACAUGCAAGUUGAGCGCUGAAGGUUGGUACUUGUACCAACUGGAUGAGCAGCGAACGGGUGAGUAACGCGUGGGGAAUCUGCCUUUGAGCGGGGGACAACAUUUGGAAACGAAUGCUAAUACCGCAUAAAAACUUUAAACACAAGUUUUAAGUUUGAAAGAUGCAAUUGCAUCACUCAAAGAUGAUCCCGCGUUGUAUUAGCUAGUUGGUGAGGUAAAGGCUCACCAAGGCGAUGAUACAUAGCCGACCUGAGAGGGUGAUCGGCCACAUUGGGACUGAGACACGGCACAAACUCCUACGGGAGGCAGCAGUAGGGAAUCUUCGGCAAUGGACGAAAGUCUGACCGAGAAACGCCGCGUGAGUGAAGAAGGUUUUCGGAUCGUAAAACUCUGUUGGUAGAGAAGAACGUUGGUGAGAGUGGAAAGCUCAUCAAGUGACGGUAACUACCCAGAAAGGGACGGCUAACUACGUG
rnacentral:rRNA from 1 species